CUCCCUCAGGACUGUGCUGCAAAAAAUCGGCCUGGAGGGCAAAGUGGCCCCUCAGCAGGCCAGAAAAAAGUGGGAUAACCUCAAAAAAAAAUACAAAGAGCUGAAGUGCCCACCAACAGGGAGUGGCACUGAAAAUGGGGAGGCCACUGCUGCAUCAUGGCCGUGGUUCACCAUCAUGGAUGAGGCUUUAGGACGGAGGCACUCCAUUGUGCCUCCUGUUCUAGUUGCCUCAAUGCAUGAUGGUGAACCAUGUUCAUCUCCAGCAGUGGCCCCUCCAGAAGCAGGGAAGGCAGGGAGAAAGAGAAGUGUGCUGGAACUUUUAGAGGAGGACAUGAGGAAGGAGGAGGAGAGAGAGGAAAAGCGAAUGAAGGCAGCUGAGGAAAGGGCAGAGAGAUAUUUUUCUUUGUUUGAAAAACUUAUUGAUAAAAUAAAGUAAACAAUGAAAUCUA